GACGAACGCUGGCGGCGUGCUUAACACAUGCCAGUCGAACGGAAAGGCCCUGCUUUUGUGGGUUGCUCGAGUGGCGAACGGGUGAGUAACACGUGAGUAACCUGCCCUUGACUUUGGGAUAACUUCAGGAAACUGGGGCUAUUACCGGAUAGGAGCUCCUGCUGCAUGGUGGGGGUUGGAAAGUUUCGGCGGUUGGGGAUGGACUCGCGGCUUAUCAGCUUGUUGGUGGGGUAGUGGCUUACCAAGGCUUUGACGGGUAGCCGGCCUGAGAGGGUGACCGGCCACAUUGGGACUGAGAUACGGCCCAGACUCCUACGGGAGGCAGCAGUGGGGAAUAUUGCACAAUGGGCGGAAGCCUGAUGCAGCAACGCCGCGUGCGGGAUGACGGCCUUCGGGUUGUAAACCGCUUUCGCCUGUGACGAAGCGUGAGUGACGGUAAUGGGUAAAGAAGCACCGGCUAACUACGUG
rnacentral:rRNA from 1 species